GGGAUUGGGUCACAGUUCAUCUCUCUCUCUCUCUCUCUCUCUCUCUCUCUCUCACACACACACACACACACACACACACACACACACAGAGAGAGAGAGAGAGAGAGAGUACUGUAUUUCUAUU